rnacentral:rRNA from 1 species
UACGUAGGGUGCGAGCGUUAUUCGGAAUUACUGGGCGUAAAGCGCGCGCAGGCGGUUUGUCGUGUCGGCUGUGAAAUCCCCGGGCUUAACCUGGGAAUGGCCAUGGAAACUGGCGAACUGGAGUGCGGCAGAGGGGGGUGGAAUUCCGCGUGUAGCAGUGAAAUGCGUAGAGAUGCGGAGGAACACCGAUGGCGAAGGCAGCCCCCUGGGCUAGCACUGACGCUCAGGCACGAAAGCGUGGGGAGCAAACAGG